rnacentral:ncRNA from 1 species
UCGCGGGCGACUGCGAGUCUGAAGGAAGUCCGAGGCAAAGCGCUGGCCUGACGAACAGGAAGCGGAUAUGAGGCGACGCGUUGGGACGAGGCAGCGAAAAAGGCCAAAUCCAGUACUUGCACGGAACGACGCGGCGUAAAUCCGACGGGCAUAAGCGUGAAGGUGGGUGCGU